GAUGAACGCUAGCUCCAGGCUUAACACAUGCAAGUCGAGGGACCGGCGCACGGGUGAGUAACACGUAUCCACCCUGCCCUUUACCCGGGGAUAGCCUUUAGAAAGACAGAUUAAUACCCGAUGUACAGGAGGGGGAUGCGUUCCAUUAGGUUGUUGGUGAGGUAACGGCUCACCAAGCCUUCGAUGGAUAGGGGUUCUGAGAGGAAGGUCCCCCACAUUGGAACUGGGACACGGUCCAAACUCCUACGGGAGGCAGCAGUGAGGAAUAUUGGUCAAUGGGCGUUAGCCUGAACCAGCCAAGUAGCGUGAAGGAUGAAGGCUUAUGGGUCGUAAACUUCUUUUAUAUAAGAAUAUGUAUUAUAUGAAUAAGGAUCGGCUAACUCCGUGCCAGCAGCCGCGGUAAUUC
rnacentral:rRNA from 1 species